UACAGAGGUCUCAAGCGUUGUUCGGAUUCAUUGGGCGUAAAGGGUGCGUAGGCGGCGCGGUAAGUCGGGUGUGAAAUCUCGGAGCGUUAACUCCGAAACUGCAUUCGGAUACUGCCGUGCUUGAGGACUGGAGAGGAGACUGGAAUUUACGGGUGUAGCGGUGAAAUGCGUAGAUAUCGUAAGGAAGACCAGUGGCGAAGGCGGGUCUCUGGACAGUUCCUGACGCUGAGGCACGGAAGGUCAGGGGAGCAAACGGGG
rnacentral:rRNA from 1 species